GAAAUGCGAUAAGUAAUGCGAAUUGCAGAAUUCAGUGAAUCAUCGAGUCUUUGAACGCACAUUGCGCCCCCUGGCAUUCCGGGGGGCAUGCCUGUCCGAGCGUCAUUGCUGCCCUUCAAGCCCGGCUUGUGUGUUGGGUCGUCGUCCCCUCCGGGGGACGGGCCCGAAAGGCAGCGGCGGCACCGCGUCCGGUCCUCGAGCGUAUGGGGCUUUGUCACCCGCUCGAUAAGGACCGGCCGGGCGCCAGCCGGCGUCUCCAACCUUUUUUUCUCAGGUUGACCUCGGAUCAGGUAGGGAUACCCGCUGAACUUAAGC
rnacentral:misc_RNA from 1 species